rnacentral:rRNA from 1 species
GACGAACGCUGGCGGCGUGCUUAACACAUGCAAGUCGAACGGAAAGGCCUUUUCGGCGGUACUCGAGUGGCGAACGGGUGAGUAACACGUGGGUGAUCUGCCCUGCACUCUGGGAUAAGCCUGGGAAACUGGGUCUAAUACCGGAUAGGACCGCACUUUAGUGUGUGUGGUGGCAAGUUUUUUCGGUGUAGGAUGAGCCCGCGGCCUAUCAGCUUGUUGGUGGGGUAAUGGCCUACCAAGGCGGCGACGGGUAGCCGGACUGAGAGGUUGGUCGGCCACAUUGGGACUGAGAUACGGCCCAGACUCCUGCGGGAGGCAGCAGGGGGGAAGAUUGCACAAGGGGCGCAAGCCUGAUGCAGCGACGCCGCGUGGGGGAUGACGGCCUUCGGGUUGUAAACUCCUUUCGCCAGGGACGAAGCGUUUUGUGACGGUACCUGGAGAAGAAGCACCGGCUAACUACGUG